rnacentral:rRNA from 1 species
UACGAAGGGGGCUAGCGUUGCUCGGAAUCACUGGGCGUAAAGCGCACGUAGGCGGAUUGCUAAGUCAGGGGUGAAAUCCUGGAGCUCAACUCCAGAACUGCCUUUGAUACUGGCGAUCUUGAGUCCGGGAGAGGUGAGUGGAACUGCGAGUGUAGAGGUGAAAUUCGUAGAUAUUCGCAAGAACACCAGUGGCGAAGGCGGCUCACUGGCCCGGUACUGACGCUGAGGUGCGAAAAGCGUGGGGAGCAAACAGGG